rfam:Camelus ferus unplaced genomic scaffold scaffold1408, whole genome shotgun sequence.
GAGGGUAUACUUCAGUGGUAGAGCACAUGCUUACCAUGCAGGAAGUCCUGGGUUCAACCCCCAGUACCUCCA